GAGGAAUGUAUAGCAAUAGCUACUUGCAUCAUUGUAGAUAUGAUGUAAGAUCGACUAUGUUGAAUAAAAUUCUAGGUAGAAUUAUGAUAAUGACAUUGUCUGCCUAUGUGUCUUGACCAAAUUACGUGCCAGCAGUCGCGGUAAUACGUAGAAGACUAGUGUUAUUCAUGUUUAAUCGGUUUAAAGGGUACCUAGACGGUAGAUCAAGCUUUCUAAUAAAUGAAAAGGACUAAUUUACUAGAGUUACUUAUGAGGGGGUAUUAAAGUACUGCUGGUGUAGAGAUGAAAUUCUGUCAUACCUCUUUUCAAAAGAAAAACCAUGGCACAGGUAUAGGCGAAGGCAUCCCCUUAUGUGAUAACUGACGUUGAAGGACGAAGGCUUUGUGUAGCGAACAGGAUUAGAUACCCCAGUAGUCGAAGCAGAAAAUGAUGAAUGUCAUAGAUUAGAUGUAUAAGUUUAUUCUAUAAAUGAAAGUGUAAGCAUUCCACCUCAUGAGUAAUUUGGCAACAUUGGAACUGAAAUCAUUAGACCGUUUCUGAAACCAGUAGUGAAGUAUGUUGUUUAAUUUGAUGAUCCGCAAAAAACCUUACCACAAUUUGAAUAUUUAUAUUUUUUUUAUUGUUUUUUUCUUAAUAGAUAAAUAAUUAAAGAAAAAAAUCAAAAAAGGAAGAAAAUUAAGAAAGAGGCAAUAAGAUAUAUUUACAAGCGUUGCACGGCUGUCUUCAGUUAAUGUCGCGAGACUUUGGUUAGUUCCAUUAAAUUAACGUAAACCCUUACUUUAUUUUUAUAUAGAGUAGUUCCCCGCUAUAUUGGAUAUGAU
rnacentral:rRNA from 1 species